AAGGGAGGGAGGGUGAGAGAGACACAUCGAUUGGUUGCCUCCUGCAUGUCCAACUGGGGCCAAGGGUCAAACCUGGCCCUUGAAUGGGAAUCGAACCCAAGACCCUUCGGUGUGGGGGCUAAUGCUCUAAUCACUUAGCAACACUGGCCAGGACUCCCUGUGAAAUUUAACAAGGAAUUUCAAGUAGAAAUUCAUACUAUACUUUCCAGGGUGGUUAGACCCCAGCUAGUCCUCUUGGUAGAAUUUCUUUGUUUUUCAUCUAGAGGUAUAUAAUGUACAAGGUUACCUUAUUUUUACAAUUAUUUGGAAGUAUUUUAUUAUGACUACCAUAAAAAAUUCAGAUCCCAAAUUGGGUUCUUGGAAACUGAGUUUCUAGCAGAAGGUAUGCAAUUCUUGUUUCUAUCUGAAUAAAAGUAUUUAGGCAUUUUGAUGGCCUUUCUUCUGUACCUGCUGAAUUUGGGGGCUUCUUUUUGUUUUGUAGGAUUAAUAACUAAUAUUUAUGUAAGACAGAAGAGGAAGAUGUCAUUCCGUAAAGUAAACAUCAUCAUCCUGGUCCUGGCUGUUGUUUUCUUCUUACUGGUUUUGCACCAUAACUUCCUUGGCCUGAGCAGUUUGCUAAGGAAUGAGGUUUCAGAUUCAGGAAUUGUGGGGCUUCAGCCCAUAGACUUUAUCCCAAAUGCUCCCCAUGAUGCUGUAGAUGGGAGACAAGAGGAGGUUCCUGUGGUCAUUGCUGCAUCUGAAGAUAGGCUCGGGGGGACCAUUGCAGCCAUAAACAGCAUUCAGCACAACACUCGCUCCAAUGUCAUUUUCUACAUUGUUACGCUCAAUCAUACAGCAGACCAUCUCCGGUCUUGGCUCAGCAGCAGUACUCUGAAAAGCAUCAGGUACAAAAUUGUGAAUUUUGACACUAAACUUUUGGAAGGGAAAAUAAAGGAGGAACCUGACCAGGGGGAAUCCGUAAAACCAUUAACCUUUGCAAGGUUCUACUUGCCUAUUCUGGUUCCCAGCGCAAAGAAGGCUAUAUAUAUGGAUGAUGAUGUAAUUGUUCAAGGUGAUAUCCUUGCGCUCUACAAUACACCACUGAAGCCAGGACAUGCAGCUGCAUUUUCAGAAGAUUGUGAUUCAGUCUCUACUAAAGUUGUCAUUCGUGGAGCAGGGAACCAGUACAAUUACAUUGGAUAUCUUGACUAUAAAAAGGAAAGAAUCCGUAAGCUUUCCAUGAAAGCCAGCACCUGCUCAUUUAAUCCUGGAGUUUUUGUUGCAAACCUGACAGAAUGGAAAAGACAGAAUAUAACUAACCAGCUGGAAAAAUGGAUGAAACUCAAUGUAGAAGAGGGACUGUACAGCAGAACACUGGCUGGCAGCAUCACAACACCUCCUCUGCUGAUCGUAUUUUAUCAACAGCACUCCACCAUCGACCCAAUGUGGAAUGUCCGCCACCUUGGCUCCAGUGCUGGAAAACGAUACUCACCCCAGUUUGUAAAAGCUGCCAAAUUACUCCAUUGGAAUGGGCACUUUAAGCCAUGGGGAAGAACUGCUUCAUUUACUGAUGUCUGGGAAAAAUGGUAUAUUCCUGACCCAACAGGCAAAUUCAGCCUUAUCAGAAGACAUACAGAGAUCUCAAACAUAAAGUAAAACAUAAUUUAUGCUAUUAAGCAUUUCUCAGGAAAUCCUGGAAGAUAGUAUGUGUGGGAAGUAAUUGUGGCAACCCAUGGGAAAAGGAACAUUUCAAGUGGGACAAGAGGACACGUGGCACUGUCUGCUUCCCUGAUAGACUACGCGUAUCUCCACCUGCCUUACCAAGUGUUGGCUUACUACAGCACUGAAUUACCAGAGACCCGAGGACUGGAAAAGGAUGCUACUGGCUAAAUGAGGGCCCCUGAUGGCUAGGAAAGGAACACAGCACAUAUCAACAGAUGAGACCUUUAUUGGCCUUUCAGCUGAUGAAAAGAACAGUCAAACCCAUGCCUUGCUGCCCUAGCCGGUUUGGUUCAGUGGAUAGAGUGUCAGCCUGCGGACUAAAGCAGCGGUCACCAAUCAGCGGAUCAUGGACCACUGGUGGUCCAUGAGGUCCAAAAGGUUGGCGACCGCUGGACUAAAGGGUCCUGGGUUUAUUAAUUCCAGUCGGGCACAUGUCCGGGGUGUGGGCUUUAUCCCCAGUAGGGGGCGUGCAGGAGGCAGCUGAUCACUGAUUCUCAUUGAUGUUUCUCUCCCUCUCCCUUCCUCUCUGAAAUCAAAAUAUGUUAAAACAAAACAAAGCCUUGCUUA